CAACCGUGAGAAUGAGGGAGAAUGAGAAGAAUAGCCGCAGUCCAAGUCUUGGACUUAGGUUUCGUAGCUGUCGCUCCAGGCCACCAUCAUCACUGGAUUUUAUACUGAUAAAAUAAAGUGAGUCUCUAUGCUUGGCUUCUCAAAGGUCACUUCAACAACAUUUAAACUAUCAAAACUUGCUUCAGAUUUAUAUGAAUCUAGCAAGGACACAAGAGCCUUUAUAACAUCAAAUCAAACUGCAAUAGCAGGAAGCUCUAGUGAAUAUAAAUCUUUUUAAUUUCUAGAGGCAUUUCACGUGGUGGAAGUUAAUAGUCCUAGUUUUCAUGGUAUCUGUCACAGUUUAAGGAUGUGAUACAAAGUGCUGGUCUAUUUUUUGUCUUUUCUUUUUUCUUUUUCCCUUUAAAAUUCAAUAAAGUAUAUGGUUGUUGAAGUUGGGGAGAGUUUUAAUUUUGUUGCUUAUUUUAUAUGGAAGAAAUCAAUUAUCAUA